AUAAUUGCAAAUUGCCAUUUUAAAGAUUAUUUGUUGGUGAAUUGUAAGCGAUCAUAGAUACCAGGUUAUAUUUCUCAUUGCUUCCUUGAAUGCUUUAGUGUUGUUAUUGUGUGUUUUUGUAUAUACGCAUUUUGUUGCCAUUAAAUUGAUUGUUAACAAUAAAUGCAAGGUUGCAUUUUAUUUUUAUUUUUUUGUGCUUGGUUCAAUACCCAUAAUGGAUGUAGCAAUUUAAUAGGAUACGGGUAGCAAACUACUCCUAAUUAUUGGUGGGAUUGUAGAGAGUAUGAUCAUGAAAGUUUCAACUUAUCAUCUCUAAUUUUGGUAGCAAAAUACCUUUGUAGCUAUUCGGUAGCAAAUUUUAUUUAUUUGAAGUUAUUGACUGAUUGUAGUGAUGCUUUUUGUAUGAUCAUGAGAGGGACAUAUAUCUAAUUUUGAUGGAGCAGCUAGAUUCGUAAUAUAGUAUAGUUUCACGGGCUAUCCCGAUAAAGACUCAGAGUGAGUCUUUGUGUCAUGUUUUUAAUUGUUUCAGCAAUUCAAUAUCUUAGUGUGAAUAUUUUAUUAUAAUCAAAAUUGUAGGGAAGAUUGUGGUAACAAGAUGGAUCAGUUUCUGCAAAGAUGCUUCUACCAUUCAGGUCAGUAUGGUUCUGAUGAGUAUUUCUUGGAACUGCGUAAUAUAUCUAUUAAAAAAUACUACUUUCGCAGUUCUUUUUUUUCCUGGAAUGUUGUUUUUUAGUGUUGAUAAUGUGAUAUUUGAACCCGACGAUGCAUGAUUUAAGCAUCCUGAUCAGGAAUGUAUCUAUUUGACAUCUCAAAAUGAUGCCCUCACUGUUAUAUCACUUCGAACAUCAUUCUUAGCUUCAUUUUGUAUUAAACUACUUAAAUUUGUAUUUGUGUGUUCAAUUUGACUUAAAAUUUAUGGUGUUAUUAAUUACAAUUUUCCAGUUUGAAGGAAAAUUUUCAUUGAUUUGAAAGCCAACACAACUACAAGGUAAUUUCUUUAGUCUAUGCACAUCAAAUGAAACUUAAUAACAUCAUUGGUGCGUUAAUCCUUUAUUUGUGGAUACAAAAUUUAAUAAAGAUCGUAGUUAAUUUUACAUUAUAAUGCAUUUGCACAAACAUAAGAUUGCAGUUAAGUUGACAUUAUUAUUACAUUAUAACAAGGCGUCAGCUUUUUAACUAAUUUCGUGAGCUACCUAAUAAAGUUACAAUUCUUAAACAAUUAGAUUCUUAUAAAGAGAAUCCUAGGCAAGGUAUCCAUAGUGAGAGAAGGGGCAACAAACAAUAUAAAAUGGCAAGGUAUUCAUAGUAAGAUCAAAGUGGCAGUCGAUAUAUUUGUUGCAAGGAUUAAAACAGGUGGAACAUAUUUUGAUUUUUGUUGAUUAAGUAAAAUACUUAAAUAGCAAGUAUUUUGAUCCAACUGAAUGAAAUUUUGUUCUUUUAACCUGUAUUAAGUAAACUCAUUCAUAGUCAUUAGGAAUUAAAUUCAACUAUUUUUUUUUCCACCAAAUUUUGAUAAAAAAUAAUAACUAUUAGCCAUUUUCAAUAGUAGUGUGCAAUGGAUGAUUAAAACUUCCAGUUCUUAGUUUUAUACACUGAACACAUGCAAAUUUCUUGGUGGUUGGCUUUUUUCUUUGUUUUUAAAAUUUGAAUCAUUACUGAUUUUGAUAAAUUGAUUUUUUCUUUUCAACACCUGAUUGCCAAUGGAAAUCUCGUUAUUGUGUAUCAGAGACUUAACAACAUAAAGACCACCAAAGUAUGUGAUGGUUCUAAACAUCAUGAGUGGAUUAGAAAACCAUUCAGAUCAGAGGUAUUUGACAGCAAGUGUUGAUUUGUUUAUUUGUUAGCUCAUUCCUAUUCCUGAGUUGUGGACAUUAGCUGGUUUUAAGCCACAUAACACAGAUUAUAUAUAUUGCAGACAUAAGCUUUGUGGUUUCAUUUUUUGGAAACUGUUCUUAAGUGUGUAGUUCUUGAGGAAGGAAGUGGAAGUGGAUUUCUCAGCACCUCAUUGGAGAGCUAUUGGACAAACUGGAGAUGCUAACACAUUUGACUUCCAUGACAGAUAGAUAGAGCUGCCUCG
rnacentral:lncRNA from 1 species